UUGAACGCUGGCGGCAGGCCUAGCACCUGCAAGUCGAGCGGAUGAAGGGAGCUUGCUCCUGGAUUCAGCGGCGGACGGGUGAGUAAUGCCUAGGAAUCUGCCUGGUAGUGGGGGAUAACGUCCGGAAACGGGCGCUAAUACCGCAUACGUCCUGAGGGAGAAAGUGGGGGAUCUUCGGACCUCACGCUAUCAGAUGAGCCUAGGUCGGAUUAGCUAGUUGGUGGGGUAAAGGCCUACCAAGGCGACGAUCCGUAACUGGUCUGAGAGGAUGAUCAGUCACACUGGAACUGAGACACGGUCCAGACUCCUACGGGAGGCAGCAGUGGGGAAUAUUGGACAAAGGGCGAAAGCCUGAUCCAGCCAUGCCGCGUGUGUGAAGAAGGUCUUCGGAUUGUAAAGCACUUUAAGUUGGGAGGAAGGGCAGUAAGUUAAUACCUUGCUGUUUUGACGUUACCAACAGAAUAAGCACCGGCUAACUUCGUG
rnacentral:rRNA from 1 species